CACACGAAUAACCAUGCCGUUUUUAACCCAAGGGAACUUCUGCUGCUGAUAUAUUAUUGAAAAACUACUAUAUCACAGUGGCUGUUCUUUUUGGUUGCACGGCCAAUUCCAACGAUUUGUCA
rnacentral:pre_miRNA from 15 species